CGCAGGGUGGAGGAGUUGGCACCUCGAAGGGCCCAUAACCCUUAAGCCCGGGUUCGAGUCCCGGCCCUGCUA
rnacentral:tRNA from 1 species